rfam:Poecilia formosa, whole genome shotgun sequence.
GCACUCUUGUUUUUCUUCAAUUUGUACAAGUCUUUUGCCUUUUACUAAAGAUUUCUGUGGAGACAAACUGUAAGAGUUUAACCCAAUUUUUUGAUACCCUGCUGGUUAGUGGGUA